rnacentral:rRNA from 1 species
UACGUAGGUGGCAAGCGUUGUCCGGAUUUACUGGGCGUAAAGAGCUCGUAGGCGGUCUGUCGCGUCGGCUGUGAAAACCCGAGGCUCAACCUCGGGCCUGCAGUCGAUACGGGCAAACUAGAGUACUGCAGGGGAGACUGGAAUUCCUGGUGUAGCGGUGAAAUGCGCAGAUAUCAGGAGGAACACCGGUGGCGAAGGCGGGUCUCUGGGCAGUAACUGACGCUGAGGAGCGAAAGCGUGGGGAGCGAACAGG